AGAGUUUGAUUCUGGCUCAGAACGAACGCUGGCAGCGUGGAUUAGGCAUGCAAGUCGAACGGGAACCCGUUGGUUCAAUUCUUCGGAAGAGAACCGGCGGGGGAGAGUGGCAAAAGGGUGAGUAACGCGUGGGUAACCUACCCUCGAGUUGGGGAUAACUCCGCGAAAGUGGGGCUAAUACCGAAUGUGAUCCUCCCGCAUAGGCGGGAAAGAUCAAAGGCGGGGACCUUUCGGGGCCUGUCGCUUGAGGAGGGGCCCGCGUACCAUCAGCUUGUUGGUGAGGUAACGGCUCACCAAGGCUUACGGUUAGCUGGUCUGAGAGGAUGGUCAGCCACACUGAGACUGAGACACUGCCCAGACUCCUACGGGAGGCUGCAGUCGAGGAUCAUUUACAAUGCGCGAAAGCGUGAUAAUGCGACGCUGCGUGGAGGAUGAAGGCCUUCGGGUCGUAAACUCCUGUCAUUCGGGAAAAACUGUCCCCGUACCAAUAUUGCGGGGGCGUGAUGGUACCGGAAGAGGAAGCCACGGCUAACUCUGUGCCAGCAGCCGCGGUAAUACAGAGGUGGCGAGCGUUGUUCGGAUUUACUGGGCGUAAAGGGUGCGUAGGUGGUAUCGUAUGUCGGAUGUGAAAGUCCGUGGCUCAACUGCGGAAGUGCAUCUGAAACUGCGAAACUUGAGUGCAGGAUGGGAGAGCGGAAUUCUUGGUGUAGCGGUGAAAUGCGUUGAUAUCAAGAAGAACACCGGUGGCGAAGGCGGCUCUCUGGAAUGCUACUGACACUGAGGCACGAAAGCUGGGGGAGCAAACAGGAUUAGAUACCCUGGUAGUCCCAGCCGUAAACGGUGCGCACUUGGUGUAGGGGGUAUUGACCCCCCCUGUGCCGGAGUUAACGCGUUAAGUGCGCCGCCUGGGGAGUACGGCCGCAAGGUUAAAACUCAAAGAAAUUGACGGGGGCCUCACAAGCGGAGGAGCAUGUGGCUUAAUUCGAUGCAACGCGAAGAACCUUACCAGGGCUUGACAUGGGGACCCUUCGGGGGUGUCGGCGAAAGUCGGCUUUACCAUCACAGGUGCUGCAUGGCUGUCGUCAGUUCGUGCCGUGAGGUGUUGCGUUAAGUCCCGCAACGAACGCAACCCCUGUGCUUAGUUGCCACCAUGGGUGAUGAGCCCGUGAGCACUCUAAGCAGACUGCCCGUACAAGCGGGAGGAAGGUGGGGACGACGUCAAGUCAGUAUGGCCCUUACGUCCUGGGCUGCACACGUGCUACAAUGGUCGGUACAGAAGGACGCAAGACCGCGAGGUGGAGCAAAUCCUGAAAACCGGCCUCAGUUCGGAUUGGAGUCUGCAACUCGACUCCAUGAAGUCGGAUUCGCUAGUAACGGCGUAUCAGCAACGGCGCCGUGAAUACGUUCCCGGGCCUUGUACACACCGCCCGUCACAUCAUGAAAGCCGUCUGCACCCGAAGUCGCUGAGCUAAUCUAUCAUUAGAUGGAAGGCAGGCGCCGAAGGUGUGGGUGGUGAUU
rnacentral:rRNA from 1 species